GCUAAUAAUACAAAAAUCAUCGUAAACAUUGGUAGUCUGGUUCCCUGACUAAAACAUUGGAUGGAUAUCAUUGAACUGAAAAUGAAAUAUGAAUAUAUGUACAUACAUGUAAAUUACAAUAAAUUAAAAACUGUCUUGAUACAAAACAUCCUCAAAACAUUACAUCGAAACGUUUCUUUUUAGUUUACGAAGCAGUAUAGCAUUAAUCGCAUGUUUGUACAAUUAAAAGAAUCUAUUGUUUACAUGCCGUAGGGGCCACACUAAACACUACAAAAACAGACUAGAUUGCUCUUAACCGGUACGCAGUUGUUUAGCACGAUCGACAAAGCGGGGGUUUGGGGCGGUAGCCCGCGAUACUCAGGAAAUAUAUAGUGAUCGUCAACGAAACACUGGCUACAUUUCCUGUGGAGUCUGCCUGGAGGAUUUCUCAACAAACAUCAACUAUCUGUCUGAAGCCAUCGACGUAUACAGUGAUUGGAUAGACGCAUGUGAAUCGGCGAAUAACUAGCAAGAAUUCUAAG